AUUCAGCUGAUGAGUCCUGAAUAGGACUAGACGUGUGUCCUAGAU
rfam:Schistosoma margrebowiei strain Zambia genome assembly, scaffold: SMRZ_contig0003182